rnacentral:rRNA from 1 species
UGGCUCCGUUCCGGGGUCCGAGUUGUAAUUUGGAGAGGAUGCUUCGGGCGCGGCACCGGUCUAAGUCCCUUGGAACAGGGCGUCAUAGAGGGUGAGGAUCCCGUAUGUGACCGGCGACCAAGUCCAGGUGAAGCUCCUUCGACGAGUCGAGUUGUUUGGGAAUGCAGCUCAAAAUGGGUGGUAAAUUUCAUCUAAAGCUAAAUACCGGCCAGAGACCGAUAGCGCACAAGUAGAGUGAUCGAAAGAUGAAAAGCACUUUGGAAAGAGAGUCAAAAAGUACGUGAAAUUGUUGAAAGGGAAGCGCUUGUAACCAGACCUGCCGUCGGGUGCUCAGCGGGCACUUGUGCCCGCCUAUUCACCCGCGAUCAGGCCAGCAUCGGUUUUGGCGGCCGGAUAAAGACUCGAGGAAUGUAGCUUCGCUUCGGGGAAGUGUUAUAGCCUCGGGUGCAAUACGGCCAGCCGGGACCGAGGACCGCGCUUCGGCUAGGAUGCUGGCGUAAUGGUUGCAAGCGACCCGUCUUGAAACACGGACCAAGGAGUCUAACAUCUAUGCGAGUGUUUGGGUGUCAAACCCAUGCGCGGAAUGAAAGUGAACGGAGGUGGGAACCCUCAAGGGCGCACCAUCGACCGAUCCGGAAGUUUACGGAUGGAUUUGAGUAUGAGCAUAGCUGUUGGGACCCGAAAGAUGGUGAACUAUGCCUGAAUAGGGUGAAGCCAGAGGAAACUCUGGUGGAGGCUCGCAGCGGUUCUGACGUGCAAAUCGAUCGUCAAAUUUGGGUAUAGGGGCGAAGUAAGCAUCCCCGGUCCCUUACUUUCUGGUGUAACAAUUGCUAACAUAUCAUUAACAGAGACUAAUCGAACCAUCAAUUCGCUACUAGGUGGUUAAGCGGAAGGGGUUGGUGAUACUCCCCCAUUUUCAGCCCUCCGGGGCGACAAUGCUAAAUGCAUGGAUUCCUCCCGGGAGGGAGCUUAACAUGCAGCAGCCCACAAGACGAUAUUCCGAUAUCGUUGGCUGUCCACAGACCAAAUAGCGUUGGCCGGGUAUCCCUGGUUUUGAUAUGGUCGAGUCUUGCCUGUAAUAGGGUUUUGGCCCUCAAACCGUUCCUGUGUGGUUCUUACUGGUGCAUUAAGUUGGGGUUGUAGCUUUUUGUACCCUGUGGGACCCUCUACAGGGCUUGGGGGCCUUAGGUACGAACGCUAGUAGCUGGUUCCUGCCGAAGUUUCCCUCAGGAUAGCAGUAACGUUUUCAGUUUUAUGAGGUAAAGCGAAUGAUUAGAAGCCUUGGGGAUGAAACAUCCUUAACUUAUUCUCAAACUUUAAAUAUGUAAGAAGUCCUUGUUACUUAGUUGAACGUGGACAUUUGAAUGCACCGUUACUAGUGGGCCAUUUUUGGUAAGCAGAACUGGCGAUGCGGGAUGAACCGAACGUGGGGUUAAGGUGCCGGAAUGUACGCUCAUCAGACACCAGGGGGGAGACUUGUGGUGUCGGGCUGGGGGGAGAACCCCCAGCGUCAGUCUGCUCAAGGCGAGGUCUUUGACCUGUUAGGGGUCGGUGGUCGCUCCGCGAUGGCCUACCCUCCGCUGUCCCCUCCCGCGGGGGCAGCUCACAGAUCAAGCAAAGGCCGGCGGCAGGAUGCCGUUGGAGAUAUGAUCGGCCCCUGGAG